AACGCACAUUGCGCCCAUCAGUAUUCUGGUGGGCAUGCCUGUUCGAGCGUCAUUUCAACCCUUAAGCCUAGCUUAGUGUUGGGAAUCUACUGUAUUGUAGUUCCUUAAAGACAGUGGCGGAGCGAUAGUUGUCCUCUGAGCGUAGUAAAUUUAUUUCUCGCUUCUGUAAGGCUCUGUCCUCCCGCCAUAAAACCCCCAAUUUUUUAGUGGUUGACCUCGGAUCAGGUAGGAAUACCCGCUGAACUUAA
rnacentral:misc_RNA from 1 species